GGUAGUGACUCAAGCAAUGGAAGGGACAAUGAAGAUGACUGGAUGUGGAAACUGCAGGACAUACAUGAUCCUAGAACAGGUAGGAAGUGAAGGUGUGGACGAAGUGUCACUUACCACAAGAGAACACUAGCAGGUCAGCCAUUAAGGCUCCAAGCUCCCCUCUCUCCUGGCUGAGAUGAUGGCUGUGAAGAACAAGGUUUUAAAGGGACAAGGGCAGGUAAUCCAGAAUGUGUGUCAGGACUCGAGCAGAGAUAUAGACUGAUGGCUGCACCAAGUCUGGAAGUGUUUCCACUUCUGGAGACCUUGAGCAGGAAAGGCGUCAGGGGAUAAGCAUAUAGCAAUGUGCCAGGUCAAGGGAUGACUAGAGCAUCUCCAGUCAAGUUGUGGAAACACACUCCCCUUGUUUGCAUUGGAUGGCAUCACAAAAAGAGAUUCUCUCUGAAUGACCCUAGGUAAGGCAUCUCUCAGAAUACUUUGCUGUUCAUCUCCCACUCAUGGUCAAUAAGGAAACCCGCCAUUGUGUUCUGUGCUCCUGGUAGAUAAACUGCUGAGAUCCGUAUAUGGUGUGAUAAGCACCAGUUCCAUAGUUUUAGCAAUUCAGUGAAUAAAAAAGACUGGAACCUUGCUCCUCAUUGUCAAUUGAUAAAAUACAUUGCUCCUCUAUUGUCCAGCAAUAUUCUGAUCAGGUAGCCCCAGAUGUGGGGUGGGAAUGCUGGCACGUGUAACGAACAGCUCUGAACUCUAAUAUGUCGAUAUGAAGGAUCUCCACCUGAGGCGAUGUAAUGCACACUCCCAAUGAGGAGUCCAUUUGCUCUGAGCUGUGAUGUUUUGGGAGUGUGCACCCCAGUCUAUCAGGGAGGAGUCUGUAGUGAUGAUCCUUGUGGGCAGAGGCUGAAAAAAAUGGAACUUCUACAAACACCUUUUUGAGGCCUUUCCACCAAUUUAGGGAAUCAAGGACCCUCUGAAGUACGGACACCUGCUUGGCUAAACUGUGCUUGUUGAGGGCACUGAUGCUUCUCAGCCAGGCUUGAAGACACGGAAUGUAGUCUUGCUAAGGGUAUUCCAAACAUACAGGAUGCUACGUGGCCCAAGCCUUGGAGGCUAGCCCUUGCUGUAGUUUGCAGGCUGUAUGGUAUCGUUGAAACAAGAUUGGACAUUGUGACAAAUCUGUCUUUCGGCAAGUAUGUUCUGGUAGUGGUGGAAGAGCAGAGUAGUGCUGAUGAAGUCUAUUUGAUGACUGGGUGUAAGGGUAGACUUUUCUGCAUUGAGAAGAAAGCCCAGUAAGUGGAUCAGAAAUAGGGCCAUAAUGGCUGUUGUCUGUACCUUGAGAAAUGAGAAAACUUUCAGGAACUAGUCAUCCAGAUAGGGAAAAAUUAUUAUUCCUAUGUGGAGAAGAUGGGCUGUGGCAGCCAAGAAUAAAGAUCCUUGGGGCAGUGCAAAGGCCAAAGAGUAGGAUAUUAUACUGGUAGUGGUCCCUGCCAACCAUGAAAA